rnacentral:rRNA from 1 species
GAUGAACGCUGGCGGCGUGCCUAAUACAUGCAAGUCGAGCGAAUGGAUUAAGAGCUUGCUCUUAUGAAGUUAGCGGCGGACGGGUGAGUAACACGUGGGUAACCUGCCCAUAAGACUGGGAUAACUCCGGGAAACCGGGGCUAAUACCGGAUAACAUUUUGAACCGCAUGGUUCGAAAUUGAAAGGCGGCUUCGGCUGUCACUUAUGGAUGGACCCGCGUCUCCUUAGCUAGUUGGUGAGGUAACGGCUCACCAAGGCAACGAUGCGUAGCCGACCUGAGAGGGUGAUCGGCCACACUGGGACUGAGACACGGCCCAGACUCCUACGGGAGGCAGCAGUAGGGAAUCUUCCGCAAUGGACGAAAGUCUGACGGAGCAACGCCGCGUGAGUGAUGAAGGCUUUCGGGUCGUAAAACUCUGUUGUUAGGGAAGAACAAGUGCUAGUUGAAUAAGCUGGCACCUCGACGGUACCUAACCAGAAAGCCACGGCUAACUACGUGCCAGCCGCCGCAGUAA